GGCUGAGGAACGUGACAGUGAGGCAUGGUAAUGAACAUUCAUGUGAAGGUUGUACCGGCACGGACAUAGUGAGUAUGCAGAGUGUGGUUGUGGCCACAUAGUUCGCUGCCGACACCACGAAGAGGAGUUAUCAAAGCGCCCAGUGACUCUUGCUGCGCGGAGUUAUAAAGGUAGGUCUGAUCACCUUACGCCACGUGGCGUCUCAUCCCGGAGAGUCUGCAGAAGGCUUGCACAGAUCGGACGUUUUAAAACCAGUUUUCGUCUGGGUGAAGUGCCGAUCGACGCGCGUGGUCCGCUUUGGCAGUUGAGACUUCUUAUCGUCCUAAUCGUUUGUGAGUGAUCUUGGGUAAGGUGCAGCACGUGCAUCGCAAGGGAAUAUUUUCUAUAAAGUCCCAGGAUAAUGGAGAAAGAGGUCCCAGCUGCAGUUGUGGAUCCAUCAACUGCUCCAAUUAAAUCUUCAAACAGGAAAGAAGACCUUGUAGAGCCCGAGGCUUCAGUAGCCACAUCAGCUGUUCAAGUUAAACAGUCAGCUGAGGCUCCAAAAAAAGCUGGGCUUCU